CCCACGCCCUCCCAUCUCUCCCUCCUUCCUGCCGUCCCCCGCCUGAGGGAGGGGAGCGGUGCAGCAGACAUCCGAGGGCAGCUGGGACCCCCUGACUCAGCCGACGGGUGAGUCAGGCUCCCUGCAGGCCACACCGGACCCCCCCAGGGCGGGGAUUUCCCCAAGAUGAGAAAUCAGCCACCGGAAGUCACGCCGGACCUUGGACGGGCAGACAGAGGCUGGGAGGAGUUCUGGGUGCAGAGCCCCCCAACCUGUGCUCUCAUCUCUUGCUCUGGGGUAAGCCAGUGGCCAUGCUAUAAGGACACUCAAGCCACCCUAUGAAGAAGCCCACAUGAAGAGGAACUGAGAUAUCUGGCCAACAGCCAGCCAGUCACUGAGCCUGCCAACCACGCUGUGGCAGGUACCUCCAGCCCCAGACACCUGCAGCCUCCACUGAAAGCUCAAUGGCAGCCUCAUGAGACCCUGGACCGGAACCACCCAACGAAGCGGCUCCUGUAUUCCUGAUUGACAGAAACUACGGGAUCAUAAAUGCUUGCUGUUCAGUCUGCCAAGUGUUGGCGUGAUUUGUUAAACAGCAACCAGUAACUAAUACGCCACCCAUGGCUGCCGCGUUCCUGCUGUGGGGCCAGCACUAUUCCAUGCUUAGAGGCUCCAUCAAUACCUGUGAUGGACUAAAUGGCACGGUGGCUCACACCUAUAAUCUCACCACUUUGGGAGGCCGAAGUGGGAAGAUUGCUUGAGCCCAGAAGUUGGAGACCAGCCUGGGCAACACAGCAAGACCCCUGUCUCUACCGAAAAUGAAAAAAAUUAGCUGGGCAUGGCAGUGUGCACUUGGGAGCUACUCAGGAGGCUGAAGCGGGAGGAUCACUUGAGCUCAGGAGUUCAAGGCUGCAUUGAGCUAUGAUGGCACCACUGCAGUCCAGCCUAGGAGACAGAGCUAGACCCUGUCUCUAAAAAUAAAUAAAUAAAUAAUCUCGGCAUUUCUCAUCCUAAUUG
rnacentral:lncRNA from 1 species